rnacentral:rRNA from 1 species
ACGGCUCAGUAACACGUAGUCAACAUAACCAGAGGACGUGGAUAAACUCGGGAAACUGAGGCUAAACCGCGAUAGAACAAGAUACCUGGAAUGGUUUUUGAUCAAAAUCUAUAUGGCCUUUGGAUUGGACUGCGACCGAUCAGGCUGUUGGUGAGGUAAUGGCCCACCAAACCUGUAACCGGUACGGGCUCUGAGAGGAGGAGCCCGGAGAUGGGUACUGAGAAAAGGACCCAGGCCCUAUGGGGCGCAGCAGGCGCGAAACCUCUGCAAUAGGCGAAAGCCUGACAGGGUUACUCUGAGUGACUUUCGCUAAGAAAGUCUUUUGACACCUCUAAAAAUGGUGUAGAAUAAGGGGUGGGCAAGUCUGGUGUCAGCCGCCGCGGUAAUACCAGCACCCCGAGUGGUCGGGACGAUUAUUGGGCCUAAAGCAUCCGUAGCCGGUUUUACAAGUCCCCCGUUAAAUCCAACUGCUUAACAGAUGGGCCGCGGAGGAUACUAUAAGACUAGGAGGCAGGAGAGGCAAGCGGUACUCAGUGGGUAGGGGUAAAAUCCGUUGAUCCAUUGAAGACCACCAGUGGCGAAGGCGGCUUGCCAGAACGCGCUCGACGGUGAGGGAUGAAAGCUGGGGGAGCAAACCGGAUUAGAUACCCGGGUAGUCCCAGCUGUAAACGAUGCAGACUCGGUGAUGGAC